rnacentral:rRNA from 1 species
GAUGAACGCUGGCGGCGUGCUUAACACAUGCAAGUCGAACGGAAAGGCUCCUGCUUGCAGGGGUACUCGAGUGGCGAACGGGUGAGUAACACGUGGGUGAUCUGCCCUGCACUUCGGGAUAAGCCUGGGAAACUGGGGCUAAUACCGGAUAGGACGAUGGUUUGGAUGCCAUUGUGGAAAGUUUUUCGGUGUGGGAUGAGCUCGCGGCCUAUCAGCUUGUUGGUGGGGUAAUGGCCUACCAAGGCGUCGACGGGUAGCCGGCCUGAGAGGGUGUACGGCCACAUUGGGACUGAGAUACGGCCCAGACUCCUACGGGAGGCAGCAGUGGGGAAUAUUGCACAAUGGGCGGAAGCCUGAUGCAGCGACGCCGCGUGGGGGAUGACGGCCUUCGGGUUGUAAACUGCUUUCGCUAGGGACGAAGCGCAAGUGACGGUACCUGGAGAAGAAGCACUGGCUAACUACGUG